rnacentral:lncRNA from 1 species
CACAGAAUAAAUAAUUCGAAACGAAAUUGAAAUGGCAUAAACGAAGUAAAAGUGCCAUAAAAGGCAAUUGUCAAGGUUACAAACCAAAUAAAACAAAACCAGAUAAUUGUUCGAGAAAUAAAAGCAAAACAUCAAAAGAAAAUCUAAGACAAACACUUCGAUUUGAAAUCAACAUAAUGGUCCUUAAUAAGGCCAACUUCGACAGUCUGGAUCUUGAUUGCGUCUUCGAGAGAUUUGAUCUCUUCUUUGAUCACAGUGGCAGCACUGAAGUGAGAAAUACCUUCCUUCGCAGCUUUGUGGAUAGAUUCUUGAGUGGUGGCAGCAACAGCUUCUUCAAUCUUUACACGCUUUGCUUUCUCUUCAAGAAUCUUUUUCUCUCGAUCAGCAAUCUCAGCUCGAAAAGAAUCUAUUUCUGCCUCCCAUUUGGAAAUAUUGUUGGUACAUUCUUGAAUCCCAAGACCUGGUUGCUGAACUUGUGCUUUCA